AGAACAGAUGCUGGAGCUUCUCCGUGAACUCGCAGCAGCAAUCCGAAAGGAUGACCUUAUGCUCCUCCCUAUCUCUUCAAGAUCAAUACUGAAGGAUUCAGCUUUUUGCUGUCUACCAACUUUGCCAUCCUUCUGCAAGGGGUUUUGGUCCUUCAGGUUCCAGCUGGAAGACGUGGAAAGGCGAAAAAUGUGGGAGAGAUAUUUGAAGGCUUUUUGCUAAGUCUUACAGGAAAUAAUGGUGUAAGAUGCUGCGUCACUGCAAACGCAAGGUGAUUCUCGUUCAAAAAUGGCACAUGCUGG
rnacentral:lncRNA from 1 species